UAAUAUUACAGCAAUACUCCAUAGACAGUAACUGGAUUUUCCUUAAUUUGUUACCGAGGUGUAUAGAAACUUUUAGUUUUUAUUUACAUUAACGAUUUAAUUGUCUUAGGAAGAAUAUGCCUAAGACUUUUAUAUUGGAUUA
rfam:Candidatus Mycoplasma girerdii strain VCT_M1, complete genome.